GACGAACGCUGGCGGCGUGCCUAAUACAUGCAAGUAGAACGCUGAAGGAGGAGCUUGCUUCUCUGGAUGAGUUGCGAACGGGUGAGUAACGCGUAGGUAACCUGCCUGGUAGCGGGGGAUAACUAUUGGAAACGAUAGCUAAUACCGCAUAAUAGUAGAUGUCGCAUGACAUUUGCUUAAAAGGGGCAAUUGCAUCACUACCAGAUGGACCUGCGUUGUAUUAGCUAGUUGGUGAGGUAACGGCUCACCAAGGCAACGAUACAUAGCCGACCUGAGAGGGUGAUCGGCCACACUGGGACUGAGACACGGCCCAGACUCCUACGGGAGGCAGCAGUAGGGAAUCUUCGGCAAUGGACGGAAGUCUGACCGAGCAACGCCGCGUGAGUGAAGAAGGGUUUCGGAUCGUAAAGCUCUGUUGUAAGAGAAGAACGAGUGUGAGAGUGGAAAGUUCACACUGUGACGGUAUCUUACCAGAAAGGGACGGCUAACUACGUG
rnacentral:rRNA from 1 species